rnacentral:rRNA from 1 species
UACGUAGGGUGCGAGCGUUGUCCGGAAUUACUGGGCGUAAAGAGCUCGUAGGUGGUUUGUCGCGUUGUCCGUGAAAACUCACAACUCAAUUGUGGGCGUGCGGGCGAUACGGGCAGACUGGAGUACUGCAGGGGAGACUGGAAUUCCUGGUGUAGCGGUGGAAUGCGCAGAUAUCAGGAGGAACACCGUAGCGAAGGCGGCACCUGCGGCGAAGCUGACGCUGAGGACGAAAGCCGGGUGGGAGCGAAACGGG